AUUGAACGCUGGCGGCAGGCCUAACACAUGCAAGUCGAACGAGUGGCGGACGGGUGAGUAAUGUCUGGGAAACUGCCUGCUGGAGGGGGAUAACUACUGGAAACGGUAGCUAAUACCGCCUACCAUCGGAUGUGCCCAGAUGGGAUUAGCUUGUAGGUGAGGUAACGGCUCACCUAGGCGACGAUCCCUAGCUGGUCUGAGCGGAUGACCAGCCAUACGGGAACGUAGACACGUUCCGGACUCCUACGGGGGGCAGCAGUGGUGUAUAGUGCACAAUGGUCGCAAGUCUGAUGCAGCCAUGCCGCGUGUAUGAAGAAGGCCUUCGGGUUGUAAAGUACUUUCAGCGGGGAGGCGUUACCCGCAGAAGAAGCACCGGCUAACUCCGUGCCAGCAGCCGCGGUAAUAC
rnacentral:rRNA from 1 species